UUAUAUAUAAAAUAGUAGUGAUUCUAGUGAACCUACAAAAAGUGCAUUUAAUUAGAACGUAGAUCCAUAUCCAACAUGUAGCUGGAGAUUACACUCUAAAAUUGCAGUUAGGAUCGCUAGUGUGGCAAACGACAGACUUGCAAAUCUUUCUAUAUGGUAACUACAUACAAAUGAGAUAUGGUGCUGCUGAAUUAAUGAAUAACAACAAAACG
rnacentral:misc_RNA from 1 species